CAUCCUGGUUGAACUUUCUAGCGUGACACUAAUAAGUCCAUUAGCAUCAUAUAUGUGGCUUAGCAGGGCGCGGGGGGCAUAGCCUAACAAAUGUGUGGAGUCAAUUGGUUUCCCAAGGGGACGCUACUGAGAAGCUGGCUCACCAAGUCCCGGCCCAGACUGCUGCUGCUCAUCGCCGGCUUGAAGAGGCCUCAGGUCACGCUCAUGCGCAGGAAAAGGAUGAAACGCACGAAAGUAGCAAAGGCCACGUAAGCGAACCUGCAGUCGUAUGCCACAUUUCACUUGAGUCACUGACGCAAAGAGAAGCCGUCGACAUGAGCGCAGAUCAGGACACAGACAAACCAUCUUACCCGUCUCUACCAAACACACGAACUAAACGCCCAAGCAAAAGCAGAAGAGCUUCAGAGUUUGUGGUGAAAAUGAGGGAUCUUCCACAAAGAACCAGACCCCCUGACUAACAUCUGGAGCCUCACACUGACAUUUGUUCACCUUUCUCUCAAAUACACAUCUGUCAUGCUUCAGUACACUACACUUGUGUGACAGUACAUUAUUGCUAUUGCUCUUUUAAGUGCCUUGGGUUGACAGUGCUUUCUUUUCCUGUGUUCUCUGAUCAGGAUUUCAGGGAUUUUUUAUUUAUUUAUUAUUUUUCAAUUCCUAAUGAUGUGUGUGUGUGUGUGUGUGGGUGGAAAAUAAGAAAAUAGAAAGAAAAAUGUAUAAUUGCAAGCUAGAAAUUGCCAAUUAGCUAGUAAUAGCACACCAGUUGGUUUCCAUACUGUUGAGCCCGUCAGACCGACAGCUGACAGUCCGUUACUGUGUCAAUAUAUGUCCAUAUCCAAUGAAGAAGAAAAACACUAGUUAUAAAACAUCUCACAAUCCAAA